AGGAUCCAGCCUUGGCCACCCACCAUCUCCACUGCCGACAAGCUGCAAAAAUAUACAGUGUGAAUGGCUCACUACCUGGAAGUUUUGGAAACCAAUCAAGGUAAUUUAAAUAACCUAGAGAAGCUUUGGAGACCAUGGAAGGAGGGUGUUUUCUCUACAAAACCGCCUAGACCCACUUGGAAGUGAUGCCACAAGUGAAAGGCAUAUUGAACAGCAGGCUCAUUCCCCCUAGGAAAAAGGAACCCUUAGAAAAAGGAGUGUGCACCAUCUGCUGGAGAUUCAGGAGAAUGGCAGGAAGAAGAACCACAAAGCUAUAAAAGGUGUGAAGGGGCUUGGUAGGUUCAUUGAGGUACUACCACCUUUGAGAACUGAGGAGAGCUACAGAAAGC
rnacentral:lncRNA from 1 species